ensembl:lncRNA
AUCCAGAGUAGCAGAUGGCGUCCGUCAAGAAGACGACGGAAGGUCAAAGCUAUUGAGAUUAAGCAGAGGUUUUGCACAAACAAAAGCCCACACAAUUCCUCCCGCCGUCUGAACCCAAAUUCCAAAACAACUUACGUAUCAGCACACGAAAACACACCAGUCUUCAGGAAAGCGUCCCACACAGAUCCCAAGCGUUCGUCCAGAUUACCUUGCCCAACGCAAUUUGCAAUUGCUCCCAAGCCUCAUUUUAUGCCAGUUACAAAUCCUCAUCACUAUCAGCUGCCCUCCUUAACCCGGGCGUUUCCUCAUCACUUUCCUCAUCAGAGCUGGAACACCUCUGACUACGCCCCACAGCAUCCCCAGCUGUGGGGCGUAGUCAGAGGUGUUCCAGCUCUGAUGAGGAAAGUGAUGAGGAAACGCCCGGGUUAAGGAGGACAGCUGACAGUGAUGAGGAUUUGUAACUGGCAUAAAAUGGGGCUUGGGAGCAAUUGCAAAUUGCGUUGGGCAAGGUAAUCUGGACGAACGCUUGGGAUCUGUGUGGGACGCUUUCCUGAAGACUGGUGUGUUUUCGUGUGCUGAUACGUAAGUUGUUUUGGAAUUCAGGGUCAGACGGCGGGAGGAAUUGUGUGGGCAUUUGUUUGUGCAAACCUGUGCUUACUCUUAUUAGCUUGACCUUCCGUCGUCUUCUUGACGGACGCCAUCUCCUGCUUUGAAAACUCGGACUGAACUGACCACGGCUUGUCUUCCCCCUUCUUGGACUUGGAAUCUACAAACGUCUGCUUCUGGCUUUGAUCUACGGAAAGGAACUGGGUCUACUCUACUGCUACAAUCCUUGGCUGAUCUGUUCGUGUUGGAAAUCCUGUCUGCUGUGUGUGUGGGAGCGACGCAAGUUACUCUAAGCACAGUGUUGGCAGCAGAGAGGAAUCUGCUGCCAAUUAGUUGCAUUCUUUUGUAUCUUUUGUUCCUCGGCUUUUGUUUUGUUUAUCCCCAGGCUGAAGCAAGCAGUUUGUUUUUACCCGGAUUAAACUCCGGUUUAAUCCGGUUUAUCUUUUGAACGUUUUUCCUUGUCCCUUUUUGCUCCUAAAGGCUAAUACUGCCUGGCCCUUGUAUUUUACGGGCAUUUUUGAGUUCUGUAAUCCAAUAAACCCUGUUAUCUUGAACCUUGUGGCGUUCUGUCCUUGACAGUUUCAAAAGGUGAAGGAUGAAAAGAUUCGACCCCCUCUUUGCUUGAACUUCGGACUGGUUCAAACUUAUUAAAUUAUCUGCUAUGUGAAUGAUUUUUUAAUCUGAAGAACUGCAAAUUUUAGAUGUUUUAAAAAUCCAAAAAUCUAAAAUACUCCAGAAUUGUCCACAUGCGUGGUUGUGAUAGUGACAACGUUGCUUUCUGAUGGUUCAAUGUACCCAUACUUUGUUUCAUGCACAGAAGUAUUAAAGGUAUUGUACAUUAAAUUACCUUCAGGCUAUGUGAAUCAAAUGUACAUGGUGUACAUAAAAUAUCAAUGAAUUUCAUGCUUAGCCUUGAGUCCCAUCUCCAAGAUAUAAUUCUUUGCUCCCAAAACAGUGAAAUAACAAGUCAACACAACAGUGUGGGUUAAACUAUGGGCAACCAAUCAAUUUCUAUGUGAACUAUCAACCAAUUUAAGGGCAAGAACUUGGUGUAUAAUGAAACUGAGGCUGUGGCCACCCAAGACCUACUCCUCAUCUAUCAAGGGUGAGACUCCAUGGUCCCCGGCUGCAAUAAACUGUUGAUUCCAGGGUGACCAUUCAUGGAAACAGAUGGAGAAUUCUGUCUCAAUUGCAGAGGAUAUUGAGACCAGAACUCUCCCCACUCAAGGCCAUUACUUUUCACCCUCACCUUUGUUCUUUUAACCACAGAUGAGGGUUCCCAUUUUUGGCCUACACCACAAAGGUGUUGCACCCCAAGUCUGCAGGAGCACUCUGAGAAACAGACAGGAAACCAGUAUAACACACAAAUGGUUUAUUGAAGCAAAUAUAUAUGUCUAUGAGCAGUUAGCGAAAUGAGUCAGUGAUAAAAGUAGUCCUUAAUAUAAAGUCUUUAGCGUUUUCAAACAAGUUCAGCAAUGUCCUUUCUGUAAUCCACCAGUGAAACUCGAUAGUUUCACCCAAAAGUCAAAGAUAGUUCUUAAGCCAGAACUAGGAACCAAACACUGCAAACUGCAACUGUAAUCCACUUGGCGAGUUCCUCCUCAGAACAAGGAAAGCAACAUAAACAAGGCAAAGUCAGUCUCAACUCAGGGACAAGGAUGGCAGGGUACAAGGCGAAGUCAGUCUCAACUCAGGAACAAGGAAAGCAAGGUAACAAGGCGAGGUCUACUCGGAGGUAGCGGCACGGUGCAGCUUGCAAGGAACUGGAAACCUGGCUCGGUUUCCAAACAGGAGUCAAGGCUGGGAGCUGGAUACUGGAACCUCUUCUGAGGAAAGGCAAAGUUGACACCGCAAUGAGGAACACAAAGGGGAACACUUUUAAGGAGAUUCCAAGGUUGUGAGAUUAAGGGAGUGCAGGACCCACAAAACUUAUCAUGGGAAACAGUCAUUAUCGAGCCCCAGAGUUAACCUCUUGCUUCUUUGAACCCCCACCUUCUUGCUCCUAUCUCUCGUAAAACACUCCCUCUGAUUGAAAAAUCCAUCUUCACCCAGAACAACACCAUGUGGUGUAGGCAAGAUUGCCGAGGCAUUGUAAUGUUCUCCAUUUAUCGCAUCCUCCUGUGUAAUAAUAUCAGGCAGCUGCAAGGCCAAGGGGCCUUGUUCUGGGCUUGGAUCCAUAGCAUAGUCUGUUUCCAACUCCAACUCCUGGUGAACUAUAGGCCACGAUGGCUGAGCCAUAAAAAAAGGGGUGCCUUAGGUGCUCACUGAGAUGUAAACCUAUCCCUGUUUUCUUGCAUGAUAGCCUAUUUAAAGUCCACUCACCCAAUUUGCCCUGGACAGUGUAGGGUAGGUGAAAAUCCUGACUAGAACAUAAGGGGAAGAAUUCCCCAUUGGCGACCAUU